rnacentral:rRNA from 1 species
AGGACGAACGCUGGCGGCGUGCUUAACACAUGCAAGUCGAGCGGAAAGGCCUUUCGGGGUACUCGAGCGGCGAACGGGUGAGUAACACGUGAGUAAUCUGCCCAUCGCUUCAGGAUAGCCAUCGGAAACGGUGAUUAAUACUGGAUAUGACAUUCCUUCGCAUGUUGGGGUGUGGUAAAGUUUUUCGGCGGUGGAUGUGCUCGCGGCCUAUCAGCUU